GACGAACGCUGUUGGCGUGCCUAACACAUGCAAGUCGAGCGAAGUGAGUACUACGGUACGAACUUAGCGGCGGACGGGUGAGUAACGCGUGGACAAUCUACCCUGUAGACUGGGAUAACACCUCGAAAGGGGUGCUAAUACCGGAUAAUGUCGAGAAGCGGCAUCGCUUUUCGAAGAAAGGAGAGAAUCCGCUAUAGGAGGAGUCCGCGUCCCAUUAGCUAGUUGGUGAGGGUAACGGCCCACCAAGGCGACGAUGGGUAGCCGGCCUGAGAGGGUGAACGGGCACACUAAAACUGAGACACGGGCCAGACUCCUACGGGAGGCAGCAGUGGGGAAUAUUGUGCAAUGGGGGAAACCCUGACACAGCAACGCCGCGUGAGCGAAGAAGGCCUUCGGGUUGUAAAGCUCAAUAGUAUGGGAAGAUAAUGACGGUACCAUACGAAAGCCCCGGCUAACUACGUGCCAGCCGCCGCGGUAACAC
rnacentral:rRNA from 1 species